CUCCUACGGGAGGCAGCAGUGAGGAAUAUUGGUCAAUGGACGAGAGUCUGAACCAGCCAAGUAGCGUGCAGGAAGACGGCCCUAUGGGUUGUAAACUGCUUUUAUAAGGGAAUAAAGUGAGUCUCGUGAGACUUUUUGCAUGUACCUUAUGAAUAAGGACCGGCUAAUUCCGUGCCAGCAGCCGCGGUAAUACGGAAGGUCCGGGCGUUAUCCGGAUUUAUUGGGUUUAAAGGGAGCGUAGGCCGGAGAUUAAGCGUGUUGUGAAAUGUAUACGCUCAACGUCUGCACUGCAGCGCGAACUGGUUUCCUUGAGUACGCACAAAGUGGGCGGAAUUCGUGGUGUAGCGGUGAAAUGCUUAUAUAUCACGAAGAACUCCGAUUGCGAAGGCAGCUCACUGGAGCGCAACUGACGCUGAAGCUCGAAAGUGCGGGUAUCGAACAGGAUUAGAUACCCUGGUAGUCCGCACGGUAAACGAUGGAUGCCCGCUGUUGGUCUGAAUAGGUCAGCGGCCAAGCGAAAGCAUUAAGCAUCCCACCUGGGGAGUACGCCGGCAACGGUGAAACUCAAAGGAAUUGACGGGGGCCCGCACAAGCGGAGGAACAUGUGGUUUAAUUCGAUGAUACGCGAGGAACCUUACCCGGGCUUGAAUUGCAGAGGAAGGAUUUGGAGACAAUGACGCCCUUCGGGGCCUCUGUGAAGGUGCUGCAUGGUUGUCGUCAGCUCGUGCCGUGAGGUGUCGGCUUAAGUGCCAUAACGAGCGCAACCCCUCUCUUUAGUUGCCAUCAGGUCAUGCUGGGCAGUCUGGGGACACUGCCACCGUAAGGUGUGAGGAAGGUGGGUAUGACGUCAAAUCAGCACGGCCCUUAAGUCCGGGGCUACACACGUGUUACAAUGGCAGGUACAGAAAGAUGGUCCCUAGCAAAAUGGAUGAAAUCCCUUAAUCCUGUCUCAGUUCGGAAUGGGGUAUGCAACCAGACCCCUUGAAUGCUGGAUUCGUCUAGUAAUUGAUGCAUCUACGCCACGGCGCGGUAAAUACGUUCCCGGGCCUUGUACACACAGCA
rnacentral:rRNA from 1 species